AUGAAAUGCUCUUGUUUAUGCUCUUAUGUGGAAAUAAAAACAUUCUGAGAGCAAUUUAACUAAAUAAUUUUAAUAUAUUUGUGACAGGACCCCUGGCAGCCAGAGCUUUGAGUUAUACCUACUUCUUCCCUUCCUAUAUCAUGGGCAACUAAAGAAGCCUUCAGAAAUAUUUUGCACUGACCACUGGUGUUAUAAGACAUUGAGGAUGACAGCUGCACUCCUACGUCCUGUCACUUGUUCCUUCAGUUCACUGCCAAAGGCGUUUCAUGCUGCAGAAUGUCUUGCAUGGCCGCUGGCGAGUGAAGAUGCUGAUUCUGAGGUCACCCUACCAUGCCAGGCCUGAUGUGGGAAGAGGACGAGGCUUAAGGAGCUCCUCGCUUGGCUCCUGGAACUCUGGAAGCAGGCUGGCUGUUCCACAGGGAAGUUUGCCCGGAACAAGUUGCUGCAGGGAGCAGCUACCGAGCAUGAAGUGUUUUGGGGCAUUGAAGCAAUUACGACAGCUGCUCACAACUGGAAGUUGAAUUAUUCUUCAAUCUCUUAAAGGAGUAAAUCCUUUCAUUGUAGCUUGAACACUAAACCGUUGUUUUUGGCUCCUUGCUUCUAUUAGCUGGCUUUACUAGCUUGCUUGUGGGGGUGGAGAAGUUGCUUACAUUUGUCAGGUAUUUCUUAGUUGUUCACAGUGAAUGUAUCUUCUUUUCCUAAAUGCAGCAGGAGUGAAUAAUAACAGGUAGUUUUCUCCCAACUUGUAGUUUCUAUUCAAUCCUGCACCCAAGGAAGUCUAUUUCUGUUCUCAAGGCCAGGCCUGCAGCUGUUUUUCUGGCUUCCUGGUGGUUUUCUGCCUACGUGUACCACCACAUCUACUUUCUGUCAAUACAGGACCCUACAUUUUCAAUCAAUCCCCUGGGCCUUCCCGCAUGGUUUUCUGUUUUUUCAGCUGCUUUACUCUAUUAAAGAUCUUAAUUCCUCUGAACAAAGGGCUGCUGGCAUGCACAAAGUCUGAUUUCCCAUGGAUCAGAGGCACACUUGCUGGCAGCCAUUAACACCUUCCAGCACAAUGUUCUUCAGCAGCCUGAGGCUUGAAAACCCACUGCUUGGAUUUAAAAUCCUUCCAUGGUGAAUGCAUCUGCCAGGAUGCCUGCCUGGCCUCUCUCUGCUAGCUGCCUGUGGAAGGGGCAUCCUUAAAGGACCUCUGAGAGGUUAAAGGGUUUGAUCAGGACUUCUGUUUCAUGCUGCCUAUUAGGUAAAUAACAUUCCUAAAUGAUUACAUUUGAUCCUUAGUUUGCCCAAAUGCCCAUAGUGUACUUUUCUGUAAAUAGAUUUGAAAAUAGAAAAUCACAGUCUUUUAACCCCAAAACCCCACCAGUGUCCUGAAGUCCGUGUCUGAAGAGCAAUUAUCUGCCUAAGUCACUUAGAACAGGAUAUUCUGUCUACCAAAUGAUAUAUUUCUGACUAUUCUUAAAUGUAGAUUUUGGAAAGAGCCAUAGAUGACCAAUCUUCACAGGGUAAACAAUGAUUAAAUAACAGGAAAUAUUCCAGUGUUUUGCCAGUGUUUUUAUACAUGUCUAUGGAAAGAAAAUGCCUGCUUCCCUCUGUGCUUAACAAAAAGAAUGUUAAAAUAAAACAUUUUGUUAUUCCA
rnacentral:lncRNA from 1 species